GGUUUGUGCCUCAGCGGUAGAGCACUUGCCUUGCAUGUGUGAGGCCCUGGGUUUGAUCCUCAGCACCA
rnacentral:tRNA from 1 species